rnacentral:tRNA from 1 species
GAGGGGAUAGCUCAGUGGUAGAGUGUGCACAUAGCAUGCGUGACGUCCUGGGUUCAAUUCCUCGUACCUUCA